rnacentral:rRNA from 1 species
GAUGAACGCUGGCGGCGUGCCUAAUACAUGCAAGUCGAGCGAACGGACGAGAAGCUUGCUUCUCUGAUGUUAGCGGCGGACGGGUGAGUAACACGUGGAUAACCUACCUAUAAGACUGUGAUAACUUCGGGAAACCGGAGCUAAUACCGGAUAAUAUUUUGAACCGCAUGGUUCAAAAGUGAAAGACGGUCUUGCUGUCACUUAUAGAUGGAUCCGCGCUGCAUUAGCUAGUUGGUAAGGUAACGGCUUACCAAGGCAACGAUGCAUAGCCGACCUGAGAGGGUGAUCGGCCACACUGGAACUGAGACACGGUCCAGACUCCUACGGGAGGCAGCAGUAGGGAAUCUUCCGCAAUGGGCGAAGGCCUGACGGAGCAACGCCGCGUGAGUGAUGAAGGUCUUCGGAUCGUAAAACUCUGUUAUUAGGGAAGAACAUAUGUGUAAGUAACUGUGCACAUCUUGACGGUACCUAAUCAGAAAGCCACGGCUAACUACGUG